CCUACGGGGGGCACCAGUGGGGAAUAUUGCACAAUAGGCGCAAGCCUGAUGCGGCCAUGCCGCGUGUAUGAAGAAGGCCUUAGGGUUGUAAAGUACUUUCAGUUGGGAGGAAGGCGUUGAUGCUAAUAUCAUCAACGAUUGACGUUACCAACAGAAGAAGCACCGGCUAACUCCGUGCCAGCAGCCGCGGUAAUACGGAGGGUGCAAGCGUUAAUCGGAAUUACUGGGCGUAAAGCGCACGCAGGCGGUUGAUUAAGUUAGAUGUGAAAUCCCCGGGCUUAACCUGGGAAUGGCAUCUAAGACUGGUCAGCUAGAGUCUUGUAGAGGGGGGUAGAAUUCCAGGUGUAGCGGUGAAAUGCGUAGGGAUCUGGAGGAAUACCGGUGGCGAAGGCGGCCCCCUGGACAAAGACUGACGCUCAGGUGCGAAAGCGUGGGGAGCAAUCAGGAUUAGAUACCCUUGUAGUC
rnacentral:rRNA from 1 species